rnacentral:hammerhead_ribozyme from 1 species
GUACUGCUGAAGAGUCCCAUACUAGGACGAAACGGCCGUCCAGUGU